rnacentral:rRNA from 1 species
AUCAGUUAUGAUUUCUUAGAUGGUACUUUUUACUUGGAUAACUGUGGUAAUUCUAGAGCUAAUACAUGCAACUGAGCUCCGAUUCCCUCGGGAGGACGAGUGCUUUUAUUAGACCAAGACCAAACGGCCCCGGCCGUCAGUCGUGGUGACUCUGGAUAACUCUAGCGGAUCGCACGGUCUCCGUACCGGCGACGCAUCUUUCAAGUGUCUGCCUUAUCAACUUUCGAUGGUAGGUUAUAUGCCUACCAUGGUUGUUACGGGUAACGGGGAAUCAGGGUUCGAUUCCGGAGAGGGAGCCUGAGAAACGGCUACCACAUCCAAGGAAGGCAGCAGGCGCGCAAAUUACCCACUCCCGGCACGGGGAGGUAGUGACGAAAAAUAACAAUACGGGACUUGUACGAGUUCCCGUAAUUGGAAUGAGUACACUCUAAACCUUUUAACAAGGAUCAAUUGGAGGA